CAGUCGCCGCGGUAAUACGAAGGGGGCUAGCGUUGUUCGGAAUUACUGGGCGUAAAGCGCACGCAGGCGGCUCGAUAAAUUAGAAGUGAAAGCCUUGGGCUUAACCUGAGAAUUGCUUUUAAGACUGUCGAGCUAGAAUCCAGAAGAGGGUAGUGGAAUUCCGAGUGUAGAGGUGAAAUUCGUAGAUAUUCGGAAGAACACCAGUGGCGAAGGCGACUACCUGGUCUGGCAUUGACGCUCAUGUGCGAAAGCGUGGGGAGCAAACAGGAUUAGAGACCCGCGUAGUCCCUGUCUCUUAUAC
rnacentral:rRNA from 1 species